rnacentral:rRNA from 1 species
CCUACGAGAGGCUGCAGUGGGGAAUAUUGCACAAUGGGGGGAACCCUGAUGCAGCGACGCCGCGUGAGUGAAGAAGUAUUUCGGUAUGUAAAGCUCUAUCAGCAGGGAAGAAAAUGACGGUACCUGACUAAGAAGCCCCGGCUAACUACGUGCAAGCAGCCGCGGUAAUACGUAGGGGGCAAGCGUUAUCCGGAUUUACUGGGUGUGAAGGGAGCGCAGACGGCUGUGCAAGUCUGGAGUGAAAGGCGGGGGCCCAACCCCCGGACUGCUCUGGAAACUGUAAAGCUGGAGUGCAGGAGAGGUAAGCGGAAUUCCUAGUGUAGCGGUGAAAUGCGUAGAUAUUAGGAGGAACACCAGUGGCGAAGGCGGCUUACUGGACUGCAACUGACGUUGAGGCUCGAAAGCGUGGGGAGCAAACAGGAUUAGAUACCCCAGUAGUC